GCUCUUUUCGUCUAGCGGUAAGGACAUUCGGUUUUCAUCCGAAAAACAUAGGUUCGAAUCCUAUAGAGAGUA
rfam:Cellulophaga phage phi38:1, complete genome.